rnacentral:lncRNA from 1 species
UACGAACUCGAUUUGAUCUGUCAAAUAAAAAGUUGAUGUUCGUCGAGUGAAAUCUACGUUUAUUAGUUAUUUGCUGGUGAUAUCGUGUCUAAUAAGAGUCAAUAAGUUUCAAUUAAGGUAAUUUAACAGAUUAAUGUUUAAAAAACUUUAGUGUAGUAUUUUAUCUGGUGCUAGUGUACAUGUUUCUUCUGAUGAAAAUCGCUCAAAUGUUUUUAUUAAAGUGUUUAUUAGAGGAAGCUCAUACUUUGGACAAUUUUGAGUUACGUCGACAAGCCUAUGAAAUUCGUAGUUUGUCUCUAUUGACCCGAGAUGAUAACUAUGUCAGCGUAUAUAGUCUUUCGAAGCAAUUAAUCGACCAACUCGAGCUUGAGUUGCUCCCUAUAAUAAAAUGGUACCAAACGUCGAAGAAAAGGACUUACAACUCGUAUUAAGGUUUCAUGAAAAAUUCAUCAUUGGCAGCAUUGAUGGCACUCUCGUAACUUGAAAAGACCGGCUGAGCAUGAAGAGCGCAUCUUCUGUCGUAAGAAUUAUCAUGCUAGGAUGUGCAAUUGAAAAAAUAUCAUGUGCAAUUGAUUACAGAUGACAGUUUUAUUUUUAAUGAAGAUGUAAGAGAUCACUUAGAGGCUUUGACAAAUGCUGGUGAAGAAAUUGUUUUGUUUGGUGGUUCUGGAUAUAAUGCUGAGCGGGCUAACCUUAUGACACCUAUAAAUAAUGCCCCAGACAAUACUCCUGAAACAUAUUAUAACAUACUUGCGCAACUACGUAGAAAGCCAAAUGGUUUGUUGAAAAGACGCUUCAGGUGUUUGUUAGUACACAGGGUCCUAGACUAUCAUCCUGAUAAAGUUGCAAUGCAUGUUGUAUUCUGCAUAACGUGUUCAACCGGGCUGGAAUGGAGGUAGUUAAUUUGACUGAAGAUGAAAACCUAGAGGAAGCUCAGGUGGCAGCCGAGACACAGAGAAGGCAACGUGCCAAAUCAUGAUGAUUUAAAUGUUGGACGGUCGCAAAGGCCUCAAAGGACAAAGAAAAAAACGUCAAAGAUCUUGUGAAUAGAUUGUGGUGAUCGCGUCGACGUUAACUCCACCUCAGUGUGAGAAGAGUAACAGAACCUUAGGACUAAAUAUUUUAAUUAUCUAUGUAGAUCUAGUUAUAGUAUGUACUAAGGAAUAACAGGUAAUUUAGAGGUAUAGGUAUUAUAGUGAGUGUGUUGUUAUCAUACAGAAUUACCUACUUUGUGUAAUGUUAUACAAUAAAAUUGUAUAUAAUAGGCUAUUAUUACUUUAGGGUCUGCUAUUAACUUCAAAAUUGUAUUUUAUGAAUAAAUAACGGUUUUUUAUUAUUAUUUAUAUUUAGUACUUACAUAAGAA